rnacentral:rRNA from 1 species
UGGGGAAUAUUGGACAAUGGGCGCAAGCCUGAUCCAGCCAUGCCGCGUGUGUGACGAAGGCCUUAGGGUUGUAAAACUCUUUCGUCGGGGACGAUAAUGACGGUACCCGAAGAAGAAGCUCCGGCUAACUUCGUGCCAGCAGCCGCGGUAAUACGAAGGGAGCUAGCGUUGUUCGGAAUCACUGGGCGUAAAGCGCACGUAGGCGGAUAGUUAAGUCAGGGGUGAAAUCCUGGGGCUCAACCCCAGAACUGCCUUUGAUACUGGCUGUCUCGAGGUCGAGAGAGGUUGGUGGAAUUCCUAGUGUAGAGGUGAAAUUCGUAGAUAUUAGGAAGAACACCAGUGGCGAAGGCGGCCAACUGGCUCGAUACUGACGCUGAGGUGCGAAAGCGUGGGGAGCAAACAGGAUUAGAUACCCAAGUAGUCCCUGAGCGGGCUGGCAAGGCGCAU